rnacentral:lncRNA from 1 species
ACCUAUCGAAAAUCAAGAAUGCAACAGCUGCAUGUGAAAGAUCAAUAGAGGAUAAAAAGUGUUACUGUGAACGACUUAAAAGUAAAAUUUCAAAAAAUGAAAAAUAAUAUUAGCAUACUACAAAAGGUACUAUCUGAAACAGACAAAACCAAAUCACAGAGCAUCAGAAUCUUGAAAGGAAAAAAAAAGCUCUAUUUAUCUUACAACAACAAGAAGAAGAAAGAAUAAAGGCUGAAGAGUUGUAUGAAAAAGAUACAGAAGAGUUAAAAAUAAUGGAAGAGCAAUAUAGGACACAAACUGAAGUGAAAAAACAAUCUAAACUGACUCUCAAAUCAUUGGAAGUGGAAUUGAAGACUGUAAGAAGUAACUCAAAUCAGACUUCUCAUACUCAUGAAAAAGAAAGAGACCUGUGGCAGGAAAAUCACUUGAUGCGGGAUGAAAUUGCCAGACUCAGGCUGGAAAUAGACACAAUAAAACAUCAGAACCGGGAAACUGAAAAUAAAUAUUUCAAAGAUAUUGAAAUUAUAAAGGAAAACAAUGAAGACCUUGAAAAGACUCUAAAGCUGAAUGAGGAAACAUUAACAAAAACAAUAACCUGGUAUAGUAAAGAGCUUAAUGUUCUGAUGGAUGAGAAUACAAUGCUCAAUUUUGAGCUAGAGAAGGAAAAACAAAGCACCCCAAGACUGGAAACAGAAAUGGAAUCAUACCGUUGUAGACUGGCUGCUGCCCUAUGUGAUCAUGAUCAAUGUCAGUCAUUGAAAAGAGACCUACAGCUUGCUUUCCAGAGCACAGUGAAUGAAUGGUGUCAUUUACAAGAAAAUACUAAUUCUCACAUUCAGAUUCUUUCUCAGCAACUUUCUAAAGCUGAGAGUACAUCCAGUGGCCUGGAAACUGAGCUCCGUUAUGAAAGAGAGGCUCUCAAAGAAAAGACGUUGGGUAUAGAACACAUGCAAGGAGUCCUAAGCCGAACACAGUGUCCAUUGAAGGACAUUGAACACAUGUACCAAAAUGACCAACCUAUUUUGGAAAAAUAUGUGAGAAAGCAGCAGUCUAUAGAGGAUGGACUAUUUCAACUACAAAGCCAAAAUCUGUUGUAUCAACAGCAAUGUAAUGAUGCUCACAAGAAAGCUGACAAUCAGGAAAAAACAAUAAUUAAUAUCCAAGUCAAAUGUGAAGAUACUGUAGAAAAACUUCAAGCUGAGUGUAGAAAGCUAGAAGAGAACAAUAAGGGGUUGAUGAAGGAAUGCACUCUUUUAAAAGAAAGACAAUGCCAAUAUGAAAAAGAGAAAGAAAAAGGAGAAGUAAGUAUCAAGAAAAAGCUUCAACGAGAAGUGGGUGAUGCCCUGAACAAACAUUUGCUGUCAGAAGCUAGGCUAGAGAUUUCAUCACAACGUCGUGUUAAUUUAGAAGAUGAGACACGAAGUUCAAAAAAGAAAUUAGGCCAGAGGAGAAGUCAAGUAUGUAUGAAACUUAGCAUGUCAACAGUUACUCUGUAG